rnacentral:rRNA from 1 species
GAUGAACGCUGGCGGUAUGCCUAACACAUGCAAGUCGUACGAGAGUUUUUAACUCUAGUGGCGGACGGGUGAGUAACACGUGAGAAUUUGCCUUUAGGAGGGGGAUAACAAUUGGAAACGAAUGCUAAUACCCCAUAUGCUUUUGAGUGAAAUGGAUUUUAUCCGCCUAGAGAGAAGCUCGCGGCUGAUUAGCUUGUUGGUAAGGUAAGAGCUUACCAAGGCGACGAUCAGUAUCUGGUUUGAGAGGACGAUCAGACACACUGGAACUGAGACACGGUCCAGACUCCUACGGGAGGCAGCAGUGGGGAAUUUUCCGCAAUGGGCGAAAGCCUGACGGAGCAAUACCGCGUGAGGGAAGACUGCCUAUGGGUUGUAAACCUCUUUUUUCAGGGAGGAAUAAAUGACGUGUACCUGAAGAAUAAGCAUCGGCUAACUCCGUG